UUGGAUAGCCCCGCCCCUGCCCCAUUAAAAGGACCCUCCCCAAUCCUUUAAAAGCCACGCCAACACCCCUUCUAUGGUGUCUAUUUAUUCCUCCUGGUUUCAGUGAUCUGCUGGAAGCAAUAUUUCUUUUGCUUUUAAACCUUGGGAAAACAUUUCAUGACUGGAAAUGGCACCUGGUCUUCUGAGAUUCUUCCCCCUGCAAAUUACCUAAUAUCCUGGGCUCUUCAGUUUUCUUCUGCUGGAAAAGAUGUUUAACAUGGAUGUAACAGCUGCAUUAACUGGAGAGCAAACGGAUUUGAACCUUGAUAAUCAUCAGACCGGACGUCCGUUCAAAGAAUAAAGUGUUCCAACAAAGAGCCGAGGUCCUUGGCACAAGUGGGUCGGUUGUACUUUCAGGCACUCGGGAAGACCAUCCAAAGAGGCCGUUAAGUUGCAGGCAGAUCCACUAGCCUCAAUGAGAGAAUAAUUGCAGCCCUCAGAAACAGUGAGAAGUUGGAUUAAAGAAUCCAGUCAUCUGUUUUAAAAUUGUUUGAGUAAAGGCUUAAAGAUUUUUUUUUUUUUUUUUUUUGAUCCACUAUUUUUACAAAUUUUUUGUAACGGCCACUGAAUCAAACCCUACUCAAUGAAUAUAUGAUGCCCAACUCCUGCAAGAUAACAGAAUGAAGAGAAACGAAUGAUGACGAACAGCUGCAUUAACAAUGAGGUGUUUGCAAAACAAUGGACAGCAACAAAGAUUUGGACCUUGAUUAGCAUCAGACUGGACAUCCAUUAAAAGAAUAAAGGUCCUUGAAUUAAUUUAAUGUAUGCAUGGACGCAACUCUAUUUAAACCGCCGGCAGCCUGCACAC